ensembl:misc_RNA Y_RNA Y RNA
GGUUGGCCUGAGUGCAGUGGUGUUUACAACUAAUUAAUCACAACCAGUUAUAGAUUCCUUUGUUCCUUCUCCACUCCCACUGCUUCACUUGAACAGCCUUAA